UUUUAUGGAGAGUUUGAUCCUGGCUCAGAGUGAACGCUGGCGGCGUGCCUAAUACAUGCAAGUCGAACGAUGAAGCUUUUAGCUUGCUAGAAGUGGAUUAGUGGCGCACGGGUGAGUAAGGUAUAGUUAAUCUGCCCUACACAAGAGGACAACAGUUGGAAACGACUGCUAAUACUCUAUACUCCUGCUUAACA
rnacentral:rRNA from 1 species